GAAGGCGCUGCGGUGCCCUCGGCCGAGCUGGGAAAGAUGGCGGAGCUGGAAGACGUUACGCUGGACGGGAAGCCGCUUCACUUGCUCCGGGUGGCGGACUUGAAGGCCGCCUUGGAGCAACGAGGGCUGACCAAAAGCGGUCAGAAGAACGCGCUCGUCAAACGACUCAAAGGGGCAUUGAUGUUGGAGAAUUUACAGAAACACUCCACUCCUCAUUCUGGGCUUCAGCCAAACUCACAGAUUGGAGAAGAGAUGAGUCAGAACAGCUUCAUCAAACAAUACCUGGCAAAACAGCAGGAACUUUUGCGACAGAGGCUGGAGAGAGAAGCUCGUGAGGCAGCUGAAGCAGAAGAAGCUUCCACAGAAUCAGAGGAUGAGGCAUCAUUUAUCGAUCCUGCUGCCUCCAGACCUCCUGAUUUACAUGCUAUUCCAGAAAUCCCAGGGAAAAGCAACCAGAGGCAGCAAUGGCAAGAUCCAGAUAUUAUGGCCGCACAUGAAGAGGAUAAUCCUAUAGAGAUGAAGUCAGAAGACUUUGACAUUGGAUCUUGUCAAUCUGAACAGGUGGAAGGCUGUAAAACCUCAGGCACAAAAAGGAGGUCAUUUGUCAGAGUCUCCCCCUCUCCUCCUCCUGAAACUAAACAAAGAAAUUUGUCUCAAAGGGAAGCCCGCCGUAGAUCAAGCUCAAGAUCGCAGACCACAUCUGCUACUUCAUCUCAGCAAAGCCCAGUUGUACAUCAGCCAGUAGAACAUGGGGAUCAUUUACUUACUUCAGCUGAUAACCAAAUCUCAAAGCAGUCGACAGAUUCUGUUUGUGGUGAUGAAUCAGAUUUGCAUACACCAUGUGAAGUAACUAGAGAGAGACCUAGGAGGUCUCGUAGUUCAAAGGAGAGCUCCUUAUGUUCAGAUCUGGGUACUUCUCCAGUUUCAGAUAAACCAACUGAAGCAGGGCUUCCAGCAUUUGAGCAAGCAAGAGAAUCCCGGCCUAGGCGGUCUUCUACCCGCCAAACCAAGGAUUCUUCUCUUCUUUUAGCAACAUCUGAUGCUGUUAUUGCAACUGAAGAUCCAUCUCCUACACCGAGAGCUGUCGCUUCAUUAUCUGUGAGAGUCAUAAGUGAUAGGGAAUCCACAGGACACAGCAGUGGGAGUGCUGUUUUGGUAGCUCUUGAGAAAGUGACCAGUGGCUCAAAGGAAGGAAAAAAAGUCGGUGAAUUUGAAGACUCUUCUGUACAGAAGCAGCAAUUCAAAACAUCAAGGUCUCCAAAAAAGGCAAAAUCAUCAACAGGCGAAAAGAUUGACACAGAUUUGAAGUUAUGUGAAUUACAACAUAUAGCAAAAGAAUCUCAAGAAGUCAUUGAUUUGGAACCUCAAGAGAAAUCCGCAUUUGUACCUAAAGAAAGAUCAAAGAGAUCCAAACAGUUGACAGAAGAAAAUACACCACCUGCUUUGGCAUUGCCGACCAUUGAUGCUGUUCCUGAAACAUUUUCUCUUCCUGAUACUCCAAAACAAAGCCCUCCAUUAUUAGAGAAAGAUGGUGAAGGAACAUGCUCUCCAAAGGAAGAUCAAUGUUUGUGUGUUCUUCAAAAUUUGGAUAAGGAAGGAGAAAAAAACAGAACAGUGGAAGUAGAGGUAGUUCAGGAACAACCAGGACCACUAAUUAAAGAAACGGAACAGGAGGAAAAUGUAAACCGUUUAGAAAGGAGGAAGAUGGACAGCAAGACUAAAACUGAGUUUUGUGAAAAGAUUACUCUAGCACCGAAGGAACCUAGCAUGGAAUCAAUAACAAUCCUUCCAUCCAAAGAAAUAGCUGAUAUAAUACUUGAUGAGCCUAAGAUUAUAUCAGAAAACACCAUAAAGAUGCAGGAGGCAGAAAGAUUAUUAACAUCUAAAGAACUGGAAGUGCAUUGUAAAGAAAAAGGAGAUUCUAGUGCAUUUGGAAAGGAAGAAAGUAGACAGGAGAUAGAUGAGCAAAAUGAGGCAACUUCCCAGAAUGUUAAUGUAGAGCAGGGGCAGGCUAAAGUUGAGAUAUGCCCUCAUAUAUUGUCUGAUGAAAAAUAUAGUGAAACCCCAGAAAAAGUCCGGGGAAGUUUAGAUUCAUUAGAGCAAUCACUAAAUUUUUAUUUGUCAUCUGAAACAUCUGGUAGCACACCAGCUGAAAAUUUGCAAUUAGAAAUUGAUAAAGAAUCUACAGAUAAUUUGACCAGUUCAGAAAAAGCUGUCGAAACAUCAAAGCUCAAAGAGGAAGUUAAACCGCUUACGUCCAGUGAGAAUAUAAUUUCUAAAUGUCCAGAAAAUGUUUCUGAAGAGUACACGAAAGUAACAGAUAGUGCUGAAUCCCUUUCUCAACCCGAACAGCAGCCUUUGUUAAGGUGCAUUAUUGAGACUGGAUCUUUUGUAGAUUCAGAAGUGUCAUUAGCAGAAAUUUCGGAGGGUUCACCAUUAACUGAGCAUCCUGAGGCAUGUGAGAAGAGAGAGGUGGAGUCUUUAGCUGAUGAUGAAGUAAAUAUUUCAUUUCAAAGGUCAGAUAUAGAAGAAAACCAUAAUUCAGGAUCAGCAGAAGAAACUGCUGAAGAUCUGUCUGUACUCCAGGAUAUCACAGGGGUGGAAAAUUAUACUACUAAUGAAAGUAGAGUAAUAUAUCCAGCUGAUGAGCCUGAAGAUGAUUCAAAUAACAAACUCGACACUUUAACCCAUACCACGCCUGAGAAUGACAGCAUUGUGAUGUCAGGCAGUGAUAUGGCUUUAACACAAGAAGAGCAACUGGAACGCUGUACAGACAGUGACAUAACAAAUAAAACCAGUCUUUUGCAACUAAAGAGAGAGGUUGCAAUCCCAAGUGAAAAAACACUUGGUGAAAUUCCUCAUGCAUUGAGUCAAGAAAAGGCCCUACUACAUGAAGACUCUACUGAUGAUUUUUCUCCUGAAUGUGACAAAACAGCAGAAACAAAAACUAUAAUUUCCUCUGAGACAAGUGAACAGUUGGAUACACAUACUACUCCAGUUUUAACUGUUUCACAGAAGAGUGAAGCCGAUGUUCUGAAACCACACAGAAAGUACAGACGAUUUAGAGAUACCCCCCCAUCUCCAAAAACAGAACCUCAGUAUCAGACAAAACCUGUAUAUCCCUUCCCUUCUAGUAUAGAAGAGGUCAACAAAAGUUAUCACAGUCAGUCUGUCGUAGAAUGUGUGUCAUCAGAGUCUCAAACAAUUGCAGCAGACAGUUCUGUAAACCAAGCAGACAAAGAAAGUGUGAAGCAAGGUCAGCUAGAAAAAGAUGUGUUAGAGUCCUCCGAGGCUGUAUUAGUGAGUGAGGUGGAGGUGUCUGUUAGAAAUGAUGAUGCUCAUAAUCAGUUUGCUCAAGCACAGGAACACACUGAAAAUACCCAUCAGCCAGAGCAUGUAGGACAGUGUAUUGAUUCCAUAUUGAUAGAAGACAAACAAGAACAGAGCUCAGUAGUAAAUUUGAAUGAAUCGAAAGCUUUAGAUGAUCUAUCAUCUGUUGUAAAAGACAGAAGUAAUGAAGAUACUCCCGUUUUGACAGAAAUAUGUGAAGAACCCAGCCCUUGUAGUACUGAAGUAUUACAUGAAAUACCAGCACCAGGCAAUGUGCUAGAAACUGAACCAUCACAGAUAAUAAAGCAUGAGGAAGUACAUGACAAUAACAUUUUUCCACUGAAUAAGACACAUGAGAUAGAACUAGUUAUUUCAGAACAGGCAAAAGAUAGCCAUGGUGAGUCAUCUGAUGUGGCCACAUCAUUUCAUGCAGAAGUUAAUAUUAACAGUCAAUUGGUUAAACCUUCAGAAGAACAGAUACAGCCAAGUACUGUAAAAGUAGGGGAGGAGGCAAUAUGCAAAUCAAUAGCUACAGUGCUGCCUCCUUCUCCUCCAUCAGAAGAGGUGGAAAACAUCAUUCUGGAAAAAAGAGAAAGCCGUCGCAGAGAAUCUUCAUCUUCCUCUUCUACUAACUCCUCUUCGUCCUCGUCCUCCUCCUCUUCCUCCUCAUCUUCUUCUUCCCGGUCAUCCUCAUCAUCCUCGCGUUCUAGGUCCAGAUCACCUCGUAGAAAGUCACGUUCUCCUUCUAGAGAAAGCAGGUCUGUGAGCCCCCUUCAAGAUUCUGUAUCAAGGGAUAGUGGGACAUUUUGUCAGCCUGAGUGCUCUUCAGACUCUGGACGCCCUGAAGACUCCCCUACUUCAGAAAACCACAAGCGGAGAGUCCCAUGGGAAGAGGCAGGAGAAGCUGCAUCCAGCAAGAAAGUGUGCGUUAUAGUGGAAGAACAAAGCAAAAAAGACCAGCCAGAUGAGGAAGAGAUAAAGGAUAACCAAAAAGAUGAGAAAGCUGAGGGGGAAAUUCAGGACGGAUCAAGUGAGGUGAAACAAGACUCCUCUGAGAUGAUGGAGUCUGAUAAUCGGACGGAUGCCGAGGUCAGUGAAGCUCAAUCUGAGGGCAAUUCAGACCCAGGAGAGGACAGCAGCAGCUGCAGCAAGGCUGGAGAUGAACGAGGGAACGAGAGUCGUUCCGAGGAGGUACAAGUUCCUCCUUUCUCACUACUGGUAUCCUACUAUAACCAAGCACGCUGCUUCUAUACCUGUCCUGCUAAUCUUGUGCUAGCCACAGCACCAAGUUAAAACAAGCCCCAACACCAGCAUACCAAACUGGCGGAACCCUGGGAAUUGCAUGCUGAGAGCCCCGGCAAGAGCAGGUGGAAGCUAAAGUAACAGCCAGCCCUGUGUUGUCCUGGAUGCAGUAAUGACAUGGGAUUGACUGAAAUGCAGCAUCCCUUCCUUUUAAGAGAACAUAAGCCUAAGAGACAAUACUUUGAUGCACAGUGCAAUAAACUUAAAGCUGACCUAUGUACCUGUGAAACAAUUGACAUGAUUUAGCAAAUGGAAUUAUUUUCAGACUUCUGAACAUCAGGUACCAGGUGUAUGUUUUUGAUUAACUUUCUCCUUUUUCUGAUUUUUGUUACUGUGGUUAAUAUGCUCUACAAAUUCCAGAUUCUCAAAAAUGCUUAUCUAGAUGGAAUUUGUACUGGACGCUUUAAGUAAAUUGAACAUUUGUUUGAAAUUCAUAUGCAUGGAUUUUCAUGCAUCCUGUUAAUCAGAAUCUGCUUGGUCUUGGCAUCUUAAAAAUGUUCCAUAUGGAUUCUUACCUUCUCCCAGGUUGGUUUGUGGAUUGAUACUGAAUUUCAUACCAAUUUGGACUACUCUGACCUAAUAUUUGUAAGCAAGCAAGAAAGACUUCUCAAAUGGAUUUUUAUGUUGAAGAAUAAGGGAACAGUGGUUGCUCAUUUAAAAAAAGAAGAGUUUUCCAUUCCUGCUGAAUUAUAUGAAAGAUGCGAUUUAAAUGAAACCUAUAAUAUUGGACUUGAUACAGUUUGAGUUUUGCUCUUCAUCUUUUUUAUGAGAAGUGAUUUUAUUCUUACCAGUCAUUUCUAAAUGGUAAGGUUCUAUUUUUCAACUUUCAGGAUUCACAAAGAAGUGCAUUUUGGGGGUAAAAACCAUUUGGCAACAAAAUAAACACUUCAGUGGAUUACAAAAAGUGUCCUUUUGUUUUUUGGGCUGAGAGAAAAGACUUGGUACAAUUCAUAAAAGCCCAAAAGACUUGCCUUAUUUUUGUUCUUCACAAUUAUCAAGCCAUCUAUGAACUAUGGACUUCGCCAUCUGUCUCCAAGUUUUAAGCUGUGUUCUUAUUACAGACUUUUUGAAAUGGACUGUCCUUAUUCUCUCUCUUGAACUUCAGCAGCAUGGAAAGACUUGUAUAAAUUUUGUCUUGAAGCAAAAACUAAGAGCACAGACCAUGCUUAAGAACUUCUUUUGGCUUUUAGGAUACAAUUUUCUUAUGAAGAAAGUAUUUAGCCUAAAUAUACUGGAGGUUGCUUUGUCAAUAACAAAAUGCUUUUUUCACAAAUGAACUCUGCUUUUUUCUGUACCACCUUGAUUUUAAUUUUGGACUACACAGCACAUAUUGUGGUUUCUGAAGCACUACUGGCAAUGAAUAGUGGACAACAGGCCGUCUGGCUGGCCUUCUCACAUGCGGCACCUGCCAGCCUCGCUCUCAUAAUUCAGAUUUUCCACCCACCUUCCACUCUGAUUGGACCAUUGUUGCCUAGGCAUCAGUACCCAAAACUUUCACCUCACGGAGGAUUUCUGUUGUAUCUGCCAGUAAGACAUUGCCAACUGCUACAUCAGCA